rnacentral:rRNA from 1 species
GUCGAACGUGAAAGGGGCUUCGGCCCUGAGUAAAGUGGCAAACGGGUGAGUAACGCGUGGGUGAUCUGCCUCUGAGUGGGGGAUAACGUUUCGAAAGGAACGCUAAUACCGCAUGACAUCCUGUUCUUGGAUGAACGGUGAUCGAAGCUGGGGACCGCAAGGCCUGGCGCUUGGAGAGGAGCCCGCGUCCGAUUAGCUAGUUGGUGGGGUAACGGCCUACCAAGGCGACGAUCGGUAGCCGGCCUGAGAGGGCGGACGGCCACACUGGGACUGAGACACGGCCCAGACUCCUACGGGAGGCAGCAGUGGGGAAUUGUUCGCAAUGGGCGCAAGCCUGACGACGCAACGCCGCGUGGGGGAUGAAGGUCUUCGGAUUGUAAACCCCUGUUGGGUGGGACGAACACCUUCGUGGUGAAUAGCCAUGGAGGCUGACGGUACCACCUGAGGAAGCCCCGGCUAACUCUGUGCCAGCAGCCGCGGUAAUACAGAGGGGGCAAGCGUUGUUCGGAAUUACUGGGCGUAAAGGGCGCGUAGGCGGCCUGUUAAGUCAGACGUGAAAUCCCUCGGCUCAACCGGGGAACUGCGUCUGAUACUGGCGGGCUUGAAU